CGAACGGUAACAGGAAGAAGCUUGCUUCUUUGCUGACGAGUGGCGGACGGGUGAGUAAUGUCUGGGAAACUGCCUGAUGGAGGGGGAUAACUACUGGAAACGGUAGCUAAUACCGCAUAACGUCGCAAGACCAAAGAGGGGGACCUUCGGGCCUCUUGCCAUCGGAUGUGCCCAGAUGGGAUUAGCUAGUAGGUGGGGUAACGGCUCACCUAGGCGACGAUCCCUAGCUGGUCUGAGAGGAUGACCAGCCACACUGGAACUGAGACACGGUCCAGACUCCUACGGGAGGCAGCAGUGGGGAAUAUUGCACAAUGGGCGCAAGCCUGAUGCAGCCAUGCCGCGUGUAUGAAGAAGGCCUUCGGGUUGUAAAGUACUUUCAGCGGGGAGGAAGGGAGUAAAGUUAAUACCUUUGCUCAUUGACGUUACCCGCAGAAGAAGCACCGGCUAACUCCGUGCCAGCAGCCGCGGUAAUACGGAGGGUGCAAGCGUUAAUCGGAAUUACUGGGCGUAAAGCGCACGCAGGCGGUUUGUUAAGUCAGAUGUGAAAUCCCCGGGCUCAACCUGGGAACUGCAUCUGAUACUGGCAAGCUUGAGUCUCGUAGAGGGGGGUAGAAUUCCAGGUGUAGCGGUGAAAUGCGUAGAGAUCUGGAGGAAUACCGGUGGCGAAGGCGGCCCCCUGGACGAAGACUGACGCUCAGGUGCGAAAGCG
rnacentral:rRNA from 1 species